AAACACCCACGCCGAAAGACCAAGGUUUCCUGCGCAACGUUAAUCGACGCAGGGUUAGUCGGUCCCUAAGGCGAGGCUGAAAAGCGUAGUCGAUGGAAAACAGGUUAAUAUUCCUGUACUUCUGGUUAUUGCGAUGGAGGGACGGAGAAGGCUAGGCCAGCUUGGCGUUGGUUGUCCAAGUUUAAGGUGGUAGGCUGGAAUCUUAGGUAAAUCCGGGAUUCUAAGGCCGAGAGCUGAUGACGAGUUAACUUUU
rnacentral:rRNA from 1 species